CGUAGGAGGCAAGCGUUAUCCGGAUUCACUGGGCGUAAAGCGCGUGCAGGCGGUGCGGUAAGUUGGGCGUGAAAUCUCCCGGCUCAACUGGGAUAGGUCGUCCAAUACUACCGUACUUGAGAGCAGAAGAGGAAAAUGGAAUUCCCGGUGUAGUGGUGAAAUGCGUAGAUAUCGGGAGGAACACCAGUGGCGAAGGCGAUUUUCUGGUCUGUUUCUGACGCUCAGACGCGACAGCUAGGGUAGUAAACGGGAUUAGAGACCCCGGUAAUCCUAGCCGUAAACGAUGUGAACUUGGCGUUGGUGGGUUAAAACUCCAUCAGUGCCGUAGCAAACGCGAUAAGUUCACCGCCUGGGGGACUACGGCCGCAAGGUUA
rnacentral:rRNA from 1 species